ACUUAAAUAGCUUAUUUUAGAGCAGGAUAUUGAAGAUAUUCAGGAAGUAUACUUACUUUUAAGUA
rnacentral:tRNA from 1 species